rnacentral:rRNA from 1 species
GCCUUCAUGAAGCCGGAAUUGCUAGUAAUGGCAGGUCAGCAUACUGCCGUGAAUACGUUCCCGGGCCUUGUACACACCGCCCGUCACACCAUGAGAGUUGGGAAUACCCGAAGCCUGUGAGCUAACUUUUGGAGGCAGCAGUCGAAGGUAGAAUCAAUGAUUGGGGUGAAGUCGUAACAAGGUAAC